AGCAGCCGCGGUAAUUCCAGCUCCAAUAGCGUAUAUUAAAGUUGUUGCAGUUAAAAAGCUCGUAGUUGAAUUUCGGGAUCAGCAAGUUGGUCGUGCCACUGGUAUGUACUGGCUUUGCUGAUUCCUCCUUCUUGUAGAACCGUAAUGCCAUUAAUUUGGUGUUGCGGGGAAACAGGACUGUUACUUUGAAAAAAUUAGAGUGUUUAAAGCAGGCUAACGCUUGAAUACAUUAGCAUGGAAUAAUGAAAUAGGACGAGCGAUCCUAUUUUGUUGGUUUCUAGGAUUGACGUAAUGAUUAAUAGGGAUAGUUGGGGGCAUUAGUAUUCAAUUGUCAGAGGUGAAAUUCUUGGAUUUAUUGAAGACUGACUACUGCGAAAGCAUUUGCCAAGGAUGUUUUCAUUAAUCAAGAACGAAAGUUAGGGGAUCGAAGACGAUCAGAUACCGUCGUAG
rnacentral:rRNA from 1 species